rnacentral:rRNA from 1 species
GAUGAACGCUAGCUACAGGCUUAACACAUGCAAGUCGAGGGGAAACGACAUCGAAAGCUUGCUUUUGAUGGGCGUCGACCGGCGCACGGGUGAGUAACGCGUAUCCAACCUGCCCACCACUUGGGGAUAACCUUGCGAAAGUAAGACUAAUACCCAAUGACGUCCCUAGAAGACAUCUGAAGGAGAUUAAAGAUUUAUCGGCGAUGGAUGGGGAUGCGUCUGAUUAGCUCGUUGGCGAGGUAACGGCACACCAAGGCGACGAUCAGUAGGGGUUCUGAGAGGAAGGUCCCCCACAUUGGAACUGAGACACGGUCCAAACUCCUGCGCGAGGCAGCAGUGAGGAAUAUUGGUCAAUGGGCGAGAGCCUGAACCAGUCAAGUAGCGUGCAGGAUGACGGCCCUAUGGGUUGUAAACUGCUUUUAUAAGGGAAUAAAGUGAGUCUCGUGAGACUUUUUGCAUGUACCUUAUGAAUAAGGACCGGCUAAUUCCGUGCCAGCCGCCGCCGUAA